rnacentral:rRNA from 1 species
AGAUUGAACGCUGGCGGCAGGCCUAACACAUGCAAGUCGAGCGGUAGAGAGGUGCUUGCAUCUCUUGAGAGCGGCGGACGGGUGAGUAGUGCCUAGGAAUCUGCCUAGUGGUGGGGAUAACGUUCGGAAACGGACGCUAAUACCGCAUACGUCCUACGGGAGAAAGCGGGGACCUUCGGGCCUCGCGCCAUUAGAUGAGCCUAGGUCGGAUUAGCUAGUUGGUGAGGUAAUGGCUCACCAAGGCGACGAUCCGUAACUGGUCUGAGAGGAUGAUCAGUCCACACUGGAACUGACGACACGGUACCAGACUCCGUACGGGAGCGAGCGAGGUGGGAAUAGUGACAAGUGGGACGAAAGCCUAGA